UGUUCUGUAGCCUAGUUGGUUAAAAAGCCGGUCUUGCGAAAACGGAGUCGUGGGUUUGAAUCCCACCAGAACAC
rnacentral:tRNA from 1 species